CUACGGGGCGCAGCAGUGAGGAAUAUUGCACAAUGGGGGAAACCCUGAUGCAGCAACGCCGCGUGGAGGAUGACGCAUUUCGGUGUGUAAACUCCUUUUAUGAGUCAAGAAAAUGACGGUAGCUCAUGAAUAAGCACCGGCUAACUCCGUGCCAGCAGCCGCGGUAAUACGGAGGGUGCAAGCGUUACUCGGAAUCACUGGGCGUAAAGGACGCGUAGGCGGGAUGUCAAGUCAGGUGUGAAAUCCUAUGGCUCAACCAUAGAACUGCACUUGAAACUGGCAACCUAGAGUAUGGGAGGGGGGGAUGGAAUUAGUGGUGUAGGGGUAAAAUCCGUAGAUAUCACUAGGAAUACCGAAAGCGAAGGCGAUCUCCUGGAACAUUACUGACGCUAAGGCGUGAAAGCGUGGGGAGCAAACAGGAUUAGAUACCCUAGUAGUC
rnacentral:rRNA from 1 species